rnacentral:misc_RNA from 1 species
GCAACAAUACAAGUGUGAAUUUCUUUUAAAAUUGAGAGAUUUUAAUAAAUUUUCAUUUUAAAAUGUUAGUGGUUCUAAAACUCUUGUUAAUAUCUUUAAUCAUUAAAAAAAUCUUUAGAAAAGAUCAAUCAUGAAAAGAAAGAAAAACGAUUGAAACACUUGAAAAAUAAAGGGAUAUGCACUCUAUAUAGUUGGAAGAAAAAAAAGGGUCAUAAAAGAGAUCUGCCGCGGCUCCGUAAUUAUAUUUGGGAAAUUUAUAGACACAUUUCAUAUUCACGAAAUUUUAAUCACUCCUUAAAAUAUAAUAAUUUCCCUGGCCUAUGUUACACGUCGUCUAUCUCUCGCGUGACACUAUCAUACUCUCAAAUCAUACAUUUGGACAGACGGGAGCAGGGAAUUCUCAUCAAAUGGGGGACAACUUUCCCACUAUAAUUGGUCUAAUUUCUCUUUUCUCUAUAGAUUCUAGCUACGCUACAUCUCUCGGAACCGCUAGAAAGUGAUUGAUAAGCCUGCCUUUGAAUAUAUGGUUUUUGGCUUUAAUUUUGCCUUCAAUUCGAUCCGUUUAAUACAUAGUAAAACAUAUAUUUAUAAUUUUUUUACGAAAGAGUCACCAGAAAAAAUAACUCUAAUUUUUUUCUCUUAUUUAAUUUAUUGUAAGGAGUUUUAUGUAGCAUAAUUCUAAAAUAUAUAAUUCAAAAUUUUAUUAUAGUAUUUUUGCAUUUAAUUUCUUUUAAAGUAGGAAGGAGUAUUCAUAAUUUAAAAAAUCUAGAAAUAAUCAGUCUAAUUUUCUUUUCUUGUUUUUUUUUUAAUAUUCGUCAAUAUUGCCUGGUGACAAAUUGUCAAGCUCGUGCCCCCACCUAGAAGUUUAGAAUACUGAUAUCUGUGCUGGUUAUGCUUAAAUUUCAAUAAAGACAAUACAACAAACCAAAAAGAAAAAGCGUAUUCCAGAUGAUCUAAAAUGGUCCUAAUCGGUGACGGAUAUUGAUUGCAUUUCUAUCAAAAAAAAAUUUCUUCCAAGCGAAAUUUGAACUUCCCAAGAAUUUUAACCUUAGCAGAAGU